AGAUUUUCAAGUUUUGAGCAAGUUUUGAACUUACAGACCCAAGGAGCUAAAUCUCUCCCAACUCCAAGUUAGAUCGCCUCUACUCUCGAUCUUCAAGAGGUAAGAGUCGAUCUCUAGCUUACAUUAUGUUUUAAACAAGUUUUAUGCAAGUUCAUGGGGUAGAAAAUGCAUGAGUAAGCUUAUGUUGAGUUUAUGGGUUUUUGAUGAGUUUUUUAGCAAUGUGGCUUGUAAUGUGUGUUUGAUGUGUUGUAGUU
rnacentral:lncRNA from 1 species